GAUGAACGCUGGCGGCGUGCUUAACACAUGCAAGUCGAACGGAAAGGCCCUGCUGUUGUGGGGUGCUCGAGUGGCGAACGGGUGAGUAACACGUGAGUAACCUGCCCUUGACUUUGGGAUAACUUCAGGAAACUGGGGAUAAUACAGGAUAGGAGCUCCUGAUGCAUGGUGGGGGUUGGAAAGUUUCGGUGGUUGGGGCUGGAUGCGGGGGUUAUCAGCUUGUUGGUGGGGUAGUGGCAUACCAAGUGUUUGAAGGGUAGCCGGCCUUGGAGGGUGACCGGCGACCAGGGGACUAAGGGAGGGCCCAGACGGGGACGUGAGGCAACAGGGGGGAAUAUUGCACAGUAGGCGGGAGCGUGAGGCAGAGACGCCGGGAGCGGGAAAACGUGUUUCGAGGUAAAAACAGCUUUCUCCUUAAACGAGGCGGGAUUGACGGUAAUGUAUAAAAAAGCACCGGCUAACUACGUG
rnacentral:rRNA from 1 species